UCCGGUUUAACACCGGCAGUUUCUUUAGAGUCCCCAACCGAAUUGCUGGCAACACAGGACGAGGGUUGCGCUCGUUGCGGGACUUAACCCAACAUCUCACGGCACGAGCUGACGACAGCCAUGCAGCACCUGAGCUCGCUCCCCUUUCGAGGUCCUCACCCUUUCAGGUUUGUACCACGAGCAUGUCCAACCUGGGUAAGGUUCUUCGCGUUGCGUCGAAUUAAACCACAUGCUCCACCGCUUGUGCGGGCCCCCGUCAAUUCCUUUGAGUUUUAACCUUGCGGCCGUACUCCCCAGGCGGUCAACUUCACGCGUUAGCUUCGUUACCAAGGAAUUGCUUCCCCGACAACCAGUUGACAUAGUUUAGGGCGUGGACUAC
rnacentral:misc_RNA from 1 species